UACGGAGGGUGCGAGCGUUGUCCGGAAUCAUUGGGCGUAAAGGGCGCGUAGGCGGCCGGCUAAGUCGAACGUGAAAUCCCCGGGCUCAACCCGGGAACUGCGUCCGAUACUGGUCGGCUUGAAUUCGGGAGAGGGAUGCGGAAUUCCAGGUGUAGCGGUGAAAUGCGUAGAUAUCUGGAGGAACACCGGUGGCGAAGGCGGCAUCCUGGACCGGCAUUGACGCUGAGGCGCGAAAGCUAGGGGAGCAAACGGGG
rnacentral:rRNA from 1 species